CCCUUAGGAUAGGUCCCGGGCGCGUCAGGUCGAGCAUGUCCACCGAGUGGCUGUUUCUCUUUUUGCUCCCAGUCUUUCUGAUAUUACUAUGGAUUUUUUUAUCGUUCUUCUAUGUUGGUGCAAGAGGCUAGCAAAAUUCGACACCCAAUGUUCUGCUACCGGCAUACCACCAGAGGUGAAGCCUGGGAAUGAAGAAGGCUUCUUGCUUGUCUUUGAGACAAGUUAUCUGCAGGUAUAUGGAAGUCCUUCAGGGCAACUCGUUAGUCCUGGACCAGGCGAAGCUCUCCUUAAUUCCCUAUAAUAUAAUUAACCGGACUAGUGAAGGUACCCGUGCUAACCAUAUGUCCGUAUUGUUUUGCAUGUUAAGUCAAACUGCAGGCUUAAAGUCCAGCUGCAUGGAACGAACGGUGUAUCAGACAUAUACACCGUGCGUGAUCCAAAGUGCAACCCGGAGUUUUUGGCUCCGGGUUCGUACAACGGACUUAUAAUUACGACACCCAGUACACUAGGGCAAAUUAAGUUCCUGAGGCUCAUGAGAGAAGGUCCAACGGAACACAGUUGGUAUUUGAAAAAAGUAGACUUAUUCUUCAAGGGCAAGAACAAGAAGCUUUUGUUCGAGGUCGACAAUUGGCUCACGUGUCAAGACCAGGACCAUGAGGACGUCUUCCCACUUGAGAUGUCUCAGAGGAAGGUGUUUAAAAUUAUGUUCGGAUUGAAUUUUCCAAGGUGUGUCGAAGCCCUUAAGAAAAGCCCUUAGGAUAGGUCCCGGGCGCGUCAGAUCGA